UCACUAUAAGUUUUGAGAUACAAAUUGAGUUAAUAUAGUGCACCAUAUCAUUGGCUUGACUUGAGUAAAAGUCCCUACCGUUCAAUCACAAAUAUAGCCUCCUUGUAAUAAAAGGAAAAGGUCAUAUGUCAAACCAACCCAAAGUUCCCAAUGCAUAAGUGACACACACCCUUUUUAUACUAGCACAUAAAUUCAUUAAUUGGGAAUUUCCAUUCAAUUGUUUUUCAAUUUACAGCAAUCUAAAUGGUGGUGAAUGACUUAUUGAAUCAAAGAAGUUGGCUAACUCAUAGAACUAAUAGUAGAUGAAUAUUUGGACUUGAAUUUUCAUGGGCAUUGAUAGAUAAUAUCAUGAGUUCCAAAUAUUCAUCUCCUAUUAGUUCUAGAGUUAGCCAACUUCU
rnacentral:misc_RNA from 1 species